UUAAAAGUCUGUUGACAGAAAAUAACGUCGUUGCCCCUUUAAGGGACCAGCGACACAGACGCAGCGCCUCAGUGACGCUGCAGCAGAGACCUGAGGGAGAGAGCAGAGGAGGAAUCGGAGAAAACAAGCGGUGAUUAAUUAAUAGAAAAAGCAGUGAAAAAGUCGAUAAAACUGUCGAAAAACAUAACUUGCCUGGUCGGGAACUGACGGGGAUUUUAUGAGAACUAAGCCACAUUGGUUUUGGUCAGGUUUUUUUACUCGGUCGGAGUGAGGAUUGGUCUGCCAUGUGCGGGCGUGCACAUCUACAGACGGGAUUCAAGAUGGCGAGCCAGACCCAGACCUUCAACUCAUCUUCUUCAUCGCGUCAUUGAGGAAAUCCUCUGCGUGUGGUAACUCACUGCCAGAGUGGUAGGAGUAUCAGGAACUAGUUUGAACUGAACUGAACAGAACUGAGAACUGAUUGAACUAUUAUUUUUUGGACUGAGUCGAACUGAAACUUUUCAUUGAACUGAACACUUGAAUUCACAUUUGGACUUGAACUUAAAUUUAAAGUGUCAUACUUUUAUUUGCAUAUGUUUAUAUUUUUGAAUGUGAUUUGAAUAACUGUGGUCAACUUUGAUUUACUUGGGUUUUGUAGGUAAUUUCUUGCCUGUAAAAGAAAGGAAGAGUUAACUCUGGAAGAAAAAUAGGAAUCCAAAAUAGGUACAACCUAGGAAAAAGAGACUGAUCUAAUUAAAUUAGAUUAGCUGUACUAAAAUAAACUAGGUGAACUAAAGAACAAAAAGGAAGAGUGAAAUACUUUUUUUUCCCCAUUUCCCUUGUUAUUGGGAACCUGCAGGGUAUUUUUGGCUUUAUGUACUGUGUUUUAUAUUUGUGUUUCACAUUCAGUAAAUUGCCGGCCUUUUCUACUUAAAGCAACGGUCUCUGGUGUAAUUUUCCUUGCUCCCCACUCCUUAGAACCUAGAACUGGUCCAGUGGCGCAGUUAGUGGUGUGAUACCGGUGCUACACUUCCUAUUACCAUGGUUCUGAUAUGACACCUGGAGCAACACCAGGAAAUAGUCUUGUCGCUCACUGUAUCACCUUCCAUGGAAUUAGACCUCUGGCAAAUGGCUUAACAAGAUUAGCUGGCCAUCCAAUUUAACAAAGGCACAGUAAUUGUUUAAUGAAGAUAUUGAAUAUGCAACCCACACUGUGUACCAUAAGCUAAGACUUAAUAACUGUCUGCAGUCAAAAUGAGAGUCAUCCUUUUCGGUGCUAACUGUUGUUCCAGGAGAAAAAAGGUGCUACUGCUGAUAGUAACAAUAUGCUUCUCUUAAUGUGCUACUGUUAACAACAUGAGUGUUGAAGUAAUAACUGCUGUCAAAUAAACAUGAAACAAGCA